UACGUAGGGUGCGAGCGUUGUCCGGAAUUACUGGGCGUAAAGAGCUCGUAGGUGGUUUGUCGCGUUGUUCGUGAAAACCGGGGGCUUAACCCUCGGCGUGCGGGCGAUACGGGCAGACUUGAGUACUGCAGGGGAGACUGGAAUUCCUGGUGUAGCGGUGGAAUGCGCAGAUAUCAGGAGGAACACCGGUGGCGAAGGCGGGUCUCUGGGCAGUAACUGACGCUGAGGCACGAAAGCGUGGGGAGUAAACAGG
rnacentral:rRNA from 1 species